rnacentral:rRNA from 1 species
AACAGGAUUAGAUACCCUGGUAGUCCACGCCGUAAACGAUGUCGACUUGGAGGUUGUUCCCUUGAGGAGUGGCUUCCGGAGCUAACGCGUUAAGUCGACCGCCUGGGGAGUACGGCCGCAAGGUUAAAACUCAAAUGAAUUGACGGGGGCCCGCACAAGCGGUGGAGCAUGUGGUUUAAUUCGAUGCAACGCGAAGAACCUUACCUACUCUUGACAUCCACGGAAUUUGGCUGAGAUGCCUUAGUGCCUUCGGGAACCGUGAGACAGGUGCUGCAUGGCUGUCGUCAGCUCGUGUUGUGAAAUGUUGGGUUAAGUCCCGCAACGAGCGCAACCCUUAUCCUUUGUUGCCAGCGAUUCGGUCGGGAACUCAAAGGAGACUGCCGGUGAUAAACCGGAGGAAGGUGGGGAUGACGUCAAGUCAUCAUGGCCCUUACGAGUAGGGCUACACACGUGCUACAAUGGCGCAUACAAAGAGAAGCGACCUCGCGAGAGCAAGCGGACCUCACAAAGUGCGUCGUAGUCCGGAUCGGAGUCUGCAACUCGACUCCGUGAAGUCGGAAUCGCUAGUAAUCGUGGAUCAGAAUGCCACGGUGAAUACGUUCCCGGGCCUUGUACACACCGCCCGUCACACCAUGGGAGUGGGUUGCAAAAGAAGUAGGUAGCUUAACCUUCGGGAGGGCGCUUACCACUCUGUGAUUCAUGACUGGGGUGAAGUCGUAACAAGGUAACC